UUUAUGGUGAAAUUGGACUUGGCUCAAUGUCUUUUGGAUCUUUCAAU
rnacentral:sRNA from 1 species